UGUUUUGAGAGCAAUCUGGCUGCAACAGCUGUCACUCCACUGAUCACCAGGGUUGAUUCAGCUGAUUUGAUUGGCUAGGUAGGUGUCCCCUUCCUCCCUGACUGCUCCAUGUGUGUCCCUUCCAAAGCUCAGUCAAAGAUAAUGUCCUUCCCCAAAUAGAGAAGGACUGGUCUUUGGCCAUGGGCAUAGCAGUAGCUAUACUCCCCUGCUAGAACCUCCAAACAAUAUCUCAAGAGUAACAUUUUUAUAGAGUUGAUGCUUCAGCAUUUACUGUUUUGCCAAAUGCCAUAAGGGUAAGAUUGUCUGCUUGCUUCCUUCUU
rfam:Cricetulus griseus cell line CHO-K1, whole genome shotgun sequence.